UACGUAGGGCGCAAGCGUUGUCCGGAAUUAUUGGGCGUAAAGAGCUCGUAGGCGGCUUGUCGCGUCGACUGUGAAAUCCCGGGGCUUAACUUCGGGCUUGCAGUCGAUACGGGCUGGCUUGAGUGCGGUAGGGGAGGACUGGAAUUCCUGGUGUAGCGGUGAAAUGCGCAGAUAUCGGGAGGAACACCAAUGGCGAAGGCAGCUUGCUGGGACGGUACUGACGCUGAGGCGCGAAAGCGUGGGGAGCAACAGG
rnacentral:rRNA from 1 species